rnacentral:rRNA from 1 species
UACAGAGGUCCCAAGCGUUAUUCGGAUUCAUUGGGCGUAAAGGGUGCGUAGGCGGCGCGGUAAGUCGGGUGUGAAAUCUCGGAGCUUAACUCCGAAACUGCAUUCGAUACUGCCGUGCUUGAGGACUGGAGAGGAGACUGGAAUUUACGGUGUAGCGGUGAAAUGCGUAGAUAUCGUAAGGAAGACCAGUGGCGAAGGCGGGUCUCUGGACAGUUCCUGACGCUGAGGCACGAAGGUCAGGGGAGCAAACGGG